rnacentral:misc_RNA from 1 species
GGACUAUUGGAGUGUUACUUUGCCUUUUGUUUUGGUGUCUGCAAGUUACAAAUUUUUUGGAAGAAAAUAAUAUGCAGGACCGAAUAAGCUAUGAGUAGAAUUAGACCUGGCCAGGGGCAAUGCUUGAACUGGAGCUGGACUGAUUUAAACCAGAUUGGAAUCAGUCAAAAACCAUGAUUGACUUGAACCAUGGUUGAACCAGCCAACUCAGUUCAGGCCAAAACCGGAUUUUUUUUUAAUUU